rnacentral:lncRNA from 1 species
CUCAAAGCCAAGCAAGCCACACAGAAAGGGUUUUGGGGGGUGUGAAAGCCAAGAUGAGUCUUUGUGCCUAGCUUCUUUCCUAGGGGCACUCUAGGAGUCUCUGAGUGAUGUGUAAAUUGAACUUGCUUCUAUCAGAGGGAUUUUAUUGGGUGAACAAAGCACAAAGAGCGAGGUCCCUGGUCAAGCAGAGGGUAAGCAGAGGAGUAACGCUGCGGUUUCCCUGCCUGAGCUGAUUUACUGCGCUGAUCCUACAGGGAGAGCAAAGAAAGAAAAAAAAAAAGAAAAGAAAAGAAAAAGAGGAGGAAAAAAAACCCCAACAAGCAUUAGAGCAUUUGAAAGCAGGAAUAUCACUG